rnacentral:rRNA from 1 species
UGGGGAAUAUUGCACAAUGGGCGCAAGCCUGAUGCAGCCAUGCCGCGUGUAUGAAGAAGGCCUUCGGGUUGUAAAGUACUUUCAGCGGGGAGGAAGGGAGUAAAGUUAAUACCUUUGCUCAUUGACGUUACCCGCAGAAGAAGCACCGGCUAACUCCGUGCCAGCAGCCGCGGUAAUACGGAGGGUGCAAGCGUUAAUCGGAAUUACUGGGCGUAACGCGCACGCAGGCGGUUUGUUAAGUCAGAUGUGAAAUCCCCGGGCUCAACCUGGGAACUGCAUCUGAUACUGGAAAGCUUGAGUCUCGUAGAGGGGGGUAGAAUUCCAGGUGUAGCGGUGAAAUGCGUAGAGAUAUGGAGGAAUACCGGUGGCGAAGGCGGCCCCCUGGACGAAGACUGACGCUAAGGUGCGAAAGCGUGGGGAGCAAACAGG